GCCAGGAUAUGUCAUGACAGUCCUUCACAUCUCAAUCUCCAUUGUUGAUCUUACUUGUAUGGACAAGCCCAGAGCCCUUGGAUCAAAGAGAAGACCACAAGACUGGCGCCUUUUAUUCCCGGCCCUCAGAUCUCCCUUGAUAAGAGGAUUUUAAGCCGUUGGAUUAAAAAGGAGAAAGGACAAAUAUUCUGAAUAGGAUCUCAGCCAUUCAUUUUGAUUCUCUUUAAUUCUCAAGCAUCAGAUCAUGUCCUUUAAAAUCCAAACCUUCCAUCUCCCUUAAAAAAAAAAUCUUGACCCUUCAUUGGGAGCACCCGUUCCCUAUAAAUACAUGUAUGAAAACUGUUGAAGGAGGACGACGAAAAAGAGGGGUGGUGAUUAUAGUGGAAAGGCU
rnacentral:misc_RNA from 1 species